UACGUAGGGUGCAAGCGUUAAUCGGAAUUACUGGGCGUAAAGCGUGCGCAGGCGGUUAUGGAAGACAGAUGUGAAAUGCCCGGGCUUAACCUGGGAACUGCAUUUGUGACUGCAUGGCUAGAGUGUGUCAGAGGGGGGUAGAAUUCCACGUGUAGCAGUGAAAUGCGUAGAUAUGUGGAGGAAUACCGAUGGCGAAGGCAGCCCCCUGGGAUAACACUGACGCUCAUGCACGAAAGCGUGGGGAGCAAACAGG
rnacentral:rRNA from 1 species